rnacentral:rRNA from 1 species
AAUAGAUACCCUGGUAGUCCACGCCGUAAACGAUGGAUGCUAGCUAUUGGGGGGAAUCGACCCCCUCCGAAGCGAAGCUAACGCGUUAAGCAUCCCGCCUGAGUAGUACGAGCGCAAGCUUAAAACUCAAAGGAAUUGACGGGGACCCGCACAAGCGGUGGAGCGUGUGGUUUAAUUCGAUGGUAAACGAAGAACCUUACCAAGGUUUGACAUCCCGGUAGCCGUUCUCCGAAAGGAGAAUUUCAUUUAGUUGGACCGGUGACAGGUGAUGCAUGGCCGUCGCAGCUCGUGUCGUGAGAUGUUGGGUUAAGUCCCGCAACGAGCGCAACCCUUAUGAUUUAGUUGGAUUUUUCUAAACAGACUGCCCUGGUAACAGGGAGGAAGGAGGGGAUGAUGUCAGGUCAGUAUUUCCCUUACACCUUGGGGCGACACACGCGCUACAAUGGCCGGUACAAUGGGCAGCUAAGCCGCGAGGUGGAGCAAAUCCCAUCAAAGCCGGUCCCAGUUCGGAUUGCAGGCUGAAACCCGCCUGCAUGAAGCCGGAAUCGCUAGUAACC